AGAGUUUGAUCCUGGCUCAGAGCGAACGUUUGCGGCGGGCCUAACACAUGCAAGUCGAACGGGUGAGGGGGCAACUCCUCAUCAGUGGCGCACGGGUGCGUAACACGUGGGUAAUCAACCCUUUGGACUGGGACAACCCGGGGAAACUCGGGCUAAUACCGGAUGUGGCAUGUGGGACCUCGGUUCUGCAUGCGAAAGCCUCGCAGGGCACCAGAGGACGAGCCCGCGUCCCAUCAGCUAGUUGGUGAGGUAAUGGCUCACCAAGGCUAAGACGGGUAGCUGGUCUGAGAGGAUGAUCAGCCACACUGGAACUGAGACACGGUCCAGACUCCUACGGGAGGCAGCAGUGGGGAAUAUUGCGCAAUGGGCGAAAGCCUGACGCAGCCACGCCGCGUGUGCGAUGAAGGUCUUCGGAUCGUAAAGCACUGUGGGGAGAGAAGAAACAAGCCGGUGAAGAGCCGGCCCUGACGGUACUCCUUAGCAAGCACCGGCUAACUCCGUGCCAGCAGCCGCGGUAAUAC
rnacentral:rRNA from 1 species